rnacentral:rRNA from 1 species
AACGAACGCUGGCGGCGUGGAUAAGACAUGCAAGUCGAACGGGACAGACCGAGUAGCAAUAUUUGGAAUGUUCAGUGGCGAACGGGUGCGUAACACGUGGAUAACAUUCCGGAAAGCGGGGAAUAGCCCAGGGAAACUUGGAUUAAUACCGCAUGUGGCCGCAAGGCUAAAGACGGGGACCGCAAGGCCUGUCACUUUCCGAUUGGUCCGCGGCCUAUCAGCUAGUUGGCGGGGUAAUGGCCCACCAAGGCUACGACGGGUAGCCGGGCUUAGAGGACGACAAGCCACACUGGAACUGAGACACGGUCCAGACACCUACGGGUGGCAGCAGUCGAGAAUCUUUCACAAUGGGGGCAACCCUGAUGGAGCGACGCCGCGUGGAGGAUAAGGUCUUCGGAUUGUAAACUCCUGUCAUGCGAGAACAAGGUACUCAGGCUAAUAACCUGAUUGUUUGAUGGUACCGCAAGAGGAAGAGACGGCUAACUCUGUGCCAGCAGCCGCGGUAACAC